UCCAUGAUAAUGGAUUAGGUAAAUAUUCCAUGAUAAUGGGUUAGGUAAAUGUUUCAUGAUAAUGGGUUAGGUAAAUGUUUCAUGAUAAGAAUUUCAUGUCUUUUGUAUUAAAGAAUUAAAUGGAUGAAAUAUGAAGUUUUAUUAAAAGAAAAAUGGGGUGAAAAGAACAAAGUUUUGUCCAUGUUUGUUCAUCAUAGCUAAAAGUUAGAGAAGAGAAAGGAGAGGAGAAAGCUCUUGAGUAUUUGGUCAUUAGGAGGAGGAAAAUUGAAGGCGGUUCGUGUGUGGAUCUCGUCAGCAUAUCGUGGCAAACAGUGUCGCAGAUGUUACCUUGAGUUGGAGGUGGCCGGAGGUUAAAUCACACUAUCAAACUAUUGAUCGAUAUAUAAAGGUUUUAAAGUAUUUUUAAGUCUUUGGCAUGUAUGGGGACUCGUUUAAUUGUUAUUAAGUUGCUAGGAGUUGGCCUAAAAUACUGACCUAUGUUAUUUGAAGGUCUCUAUUGUAUAAAGUCAUUUAAUGUAGAUAGUCUUGAUUAUGUUAUUAAUUAAAUGAUGCAAUUUAUGAA